rnacentral:rRNA from 1 species
AAUCAACGCUGGCGGCGUGCCUCAGACAUGCAAGUCGAACGAUUAAGACUCCCUUCGGGGAGUGCAUAAAGUGGCGCACGGGUGAGUAACACGUAAGUAAUCUACCUUCGAGUGGGGAAUAACGUUCGGAAACGAACGCUAAUACCGCAUAAUGCAGCGGCAUCGCAAGAUGACAGUUGUUAAAGGAGCAAUCCGCUUGAAGAGGAGCUUGCGGCAGAUUAGCUAGUUGGUAAGGUAACGGCUUACCAAGGCUACGAUCUGUAUCCGGCCUGAGCGGGCGGUCGGACACACUGACACUGAAUAACGGGUCAGACUCCUACGGGAGGCAGCAGUCGGGAAUUUUGGGCAAUGGGCGAAAGCCUGACCCAGCAACGCCGCGUGAAGGAUGAAGUAUUUCGGUAUGUAAACUUCGAAAGAAUAGGAAGAAUAAAUGACGGUACUAUUUAUAAGCUCCGGCUAACUACGUGCCAGCCGCCGCGGUAACAC